rnacentral:rRNA from 1 species
AUACGGAGGGUGCAAGCGUUACUCGGAAUCACUGGGCGUAAAGGAUGCGUAGGCGGAUAAUCAAGUCAAAAGUGAAAUCCCACGGCUUAACCGUGGAACUGCUUUCGAAACUGGUUAUCUAGAAUAUGGAAGAGGCAGAUGGAAUUAGUGGUGUAGGGGUAAAAUCCGUAGAGAUCACUAGGAAUACCGAUUGCGAAGGCGAUCUGCUGGGACAUUAUUGACGCUGAGGCAUGAAAGCGUGGGGAGCAAACAGGAUUAGAUACCCGUGUAGUCC